UUGCGGUUUGCCUCACGAGCUUGAUGCCGAACAGCCCAACCUUUACGUUCUCCAGGACUGCUGUUUAUCAAAAUAUCUAGCCUCACAACCAAACAGCGGGAGUUUCGUUGAUGCCUUCGCCAGCGCCUUCCACAUCCACGCCGGCGGAUGGAUCCACGGGCCCCGGCGGCCCGGCGGCACCAGCGGAUUCAACUCAAUGCGGCUGGUACGGGAAACUACCUCCUCUUUCUAUGCCGCUUCAAUUUGAUUCCGCAAGAAUUCGGGCCAGUUUGCGCGAAUGCCGUGGAUAUGGAAAAUCUCAAUUUCAGUUCAUAGAGAUCAAUACAAACACUGAACCACAGAUCCAUGAACAUGGAGUUCAAGUUUUGUCAAUUUGCAUAGCUACAUAGCGUACAUAGUUUAGUGAACUAGAUAACGGCCGAUACAAGCGCACAGCUGCAUGGCUAAUUUUGUCAUAAACUUAAUUGUAGCUUCCUGGAACAGCUAGAGCACCAUUAACACUACUACUACUGCUGCAGAUAAGCAGUUUUUACAUCACUGGGAAACCCAGAUUUAUUGAAUUACUAAUUAUAGGCAUUUUUAGAAGAUCUCCUUGUAGACGAUGUUUUUCGCCAUUCCUUCGCCUGGGCACUCUUCGUCGGCAAUCAUGAUCUUCAGGCCAUCCCUGUUUGUGACUCUGGAGACCGCAACAUAGAGCUGCCCAUGGGUGAAUACCUGCUUAGGCAGAUAGAGGCCAACUUUGUCCAGAGACUGUCCUUGGCUCUUGUUGAUCGUCAUCGCAAAGCACACGGAGAGAGGGAACUGCUUUCUUUUCAGCACAAACGGCCACCUGGGCUCUAACUGUGACAUGAUGAUCUGAGGGAUGCACACCUUGUGUCCUGUGCAUGGUCCAGACAUGAUCUGCGCUUCGAUGACUUUUUCCCCAAGUCUUGUGAUAACCAUUCUGGUACCAUUGCACAGCCCUGCAUUUUGGUUAAUGUUACGAAGAAGCAUCACCGGCAGGCCAACUUUGAGCUUAAGCUGGUGAUUUGGAAUUCCUGGGUGCCUUAUGGUAUCAAGGAAUUCCCUAGGGUAUUGUAGCUCCAUGUCACGGUUAUAAGACAUUGAUUUGGAUACACUGUUACAGCUCAAGUAACUUAUUGUAUCACCUUGAAUUUGAUCCAUAAUAUACUCAUUGAUCUCAUUGACAUUCUCAUUUGUUGUACACAGUAUUGCUCUUUGGUCUAGGAACUGCUGCUUGCAGCAAUUGUCUUGCAGGCUUGGAUAGAUGCUUUCAAUGAUUUUUGCUUUUGGAUCAUCUCCUUUUUGUAGCAACAGGUCAUUGGGGAUAGUAACCCAUUCGUCAUCUAAUGAAACUGUGUCUCCAUUUCCAAUUUGUAGUAUCCACUCUGCAAACUCCGCAGUCUUCUGUUGCUGUGUUUGAUUGGUGGACAAAGAAUUUAGUCGCAUAUUUUUUGUCAAAUGGAAUACCUCAAAAUGUUGCCACAGGUAAGAGCGUUUAAUUGAUGCAUUUAUAAUGUGCUCCCUUCUCCCAUUUUUCACGACAGGGAGGGUUUGCCGGAAGUCCCCUCCAAGAACAACCGUCAUCCCACCAAAGGGCUUUUUAUAACUAUUCGCAUGUUUGAACCUCAGAAUGUCCCUUAGGCUCUUGUCCAGUGCCUCAAAGCAGUUUCUGUCUGCCAUUGGAGCUUCAUCCCAAAGUAUUAGUGAUGUCUUCACUAACAGAUCUGCCACAGGUGAACCUUGUGCAAUGUAGCAUGUCGAUUCAUCUGUUAGGUUCAAUGGAAUCUUGAAUGCAGAGUGUGCGGUUUUACCUCCUUGAAGCAGAAGAGCCGCGAUGCCACUGGAUGCAACUGCAAGUACUAUCUUUCCCUCUGAUCGUAGCCUCGUUGUGACUGCUUUCCAAAUGUAUGUCUUACCUGUCCCACCAUAGCCAUCCACAAAUAUUAGCUUUCCUAAUGAUUGGUCCACUGAUUUAAUUAUUUCAUCAAAGGCCUUCUUCUGUUCUGUGUUUAGAUUGUUUAGUAUUUGCAGGUGCUCGUCUUUCAACUUGUUUUUGUCACAGUUCAUUUCUGCAUUUAUAAGCCUGUUUUCAGUGUCACUUAACUUUACCAUAUCUGGUAGGUCUAUUUCAGGGUACUCCUUCAAUGACUUUCCAGCUUGCCCCAUGAGCUUCUCAAUCUCCAUUAAUGCAUAUGUUCUUCUACUGGAAGGCGUGACACAGAAGUUCCAAGUUUGCGGUUGCUGUACGUCUUCAGAGAGUGCUUCCCAGUUGGAUUCCCACACCCUCUUAGGGUCAGUAAUCUCACAGUGGCAUAGAAUAGUCGUAAACAAUUGCCGUAAUUGCAUCCCAGACGCCCAGUUGGAUGCUUCCUUAAUGCACUCAAUCCACUCGUUAUCAUCAUUCAGAAAUCCCAACGCAUGACAUGCUGACUUGUAUGAAGGGUGCACAACUCCAUUCACAGUCCUGAUAUCAUCAAAUGAUGUGCAACCCUUUGCAGUGUUGAGAAGCAUUCUGAGAUAAUACCUUUCUCCACUUGCAGCGUGGGCAUUGUAGAUCCUGCCAAUUUUAUUACCACAUCUUCGUCUUGCCCAAUACUUUUCCUUUUUAUGCCAUACCCAUUUGGUCGGGAACUCAGAGUAUGUUAACUCCCUGGCAUCUUCAUGCUUUUUGUUUGCUUCCAUCCACUCUGUAAACAUGGUGAGCCCUGAACUCGGCCGUUUUACGAUUUCCUCCAGGUUUGUUGAGUCGGGAAAAGUCACCUCUUGCUCAUUCUCCUUGUGGAACUGUAGCCUCUGAACGGCUGGUUCUUGGUAGUGUAUAUUAAACCUGAAUAUUCUCCAACAAGCUUCAAGUGGUGUUAUGUAUCUGCCUCCUAGGUACAUUUUAAUCUCAUCGUUGGUCUUUGACAGUCCUUUUUCUGCAACUACUGCUGUUGCUUGGUCUUCUUUAUUGUGGAUGCCUUUGAAUAGGUAUUUGAUUGAUCUAGACCGGGUGAACCACUCCACAUUAAUAUGUGAUUGGAACUUGACCAGGAGAUCUUUGUUGUAUGGGACAACAAAUGCAUUGUUCAUCAUGACUCCCUCCUUUGUUAUAUGUCGUCCUUCAUCUCGUCUUCUGUAUAUCGGGAAGUCUUUUUCAUCAAUGGUAGUCUGAUCACAUAAACUUUUUGGGAAAUAUUUAGUGCAUCUAUGGUUCACCAUGCAUGGUGACUUUGGAUUCGCUUCUCCACAUGGUCCAUGCAUCAUAAAUUUUUUGACGGCUUCAAAUGUUUCUGGGUCCUCGUCCUUUUCGGGGAUCUCAGCACAUAUCAUUUCAUCAAUUUCUGAUGGCUUGAGGUAGCUCUCAUUUUUAGAAAGGAAGAUUAGUAUAUGGGCAUGUGGGAGUCCCCUCUUCUGGAAUUCUAUUGUAUAGAUAACUGCAUGUCGAUUAAAUGUGUUAGCAAAUGAACAACACUAUGAAAUAUUAUAAACUUCUAUUACUAAUGAAUGAGGUUCCAACACACUUACUUGCUUUAGUCUUUCCAAAAUGUUGUCUUUUUUUAAUAUCUGUCAUCAACUCCUUUAGUUUUAUCAUGAAUACUCGAACUACAAUAUCAGGGCGUUCUGAUGGUUGCUGGUUGCCGGCUUCGUCUAGCAUACACUGGAUCUCUGGCCACUUAGGAUUGCACGUGAACGUUAAAAACAAAUCUGGGUAUCCAGCCCAACGACAUACUGCCAUUGCGUCUUGGUAAUUUUGCUCUUUGUACCUGGGACUUCCUGGGUAACUUGCUGGGAGUACUAUCCUCCUCCCUACUUUCUCUGUUCUUGUAUCUCCUUUUCUGACUGCAUCUCUUAAUCCACUGUAAAGUUCUGUUCUUAGGGCUCCCUGGUUAUUCCUUAUCCAGUCAAGCCUAUGUUGUUCAAUGCAUGUAUAGACAUCAACCAGGAACUGCAUCGACAGAUUUCCACUCAUUAGCAUCAGCAUUGACUGAUUCGAACGCUGUUGGAGGCGAUAUGCAUAGUAUUCCAACAUGCUGAUGUAUUUCUUGCUGUCGCUUGUGCCCUUUUCUUUGUAUUCUAUGCCAGGUCUAAAACCAUCUUCUCCAUAUGGGAAGAGUAAUGGGUACUGCAUGGCCAUAAAUUUUGGAUGGAUUUCAGAUACCCUUUUGGGUCUCAUAUCUUUGUACUCAAGAACAAUAUCGCGUCCAUAACUUUCUGUGGCUGGAUCUUUGACUAUCAAAGCAGCAACUUCUGAUGCAGAUGGCAUGUUGUCUUUCCUCCCAUCUUGCUCCCUAUUGCUAAGUAGUCGAAGAGUUAAAUUAUGGUAGUCACGAUUUUCAAAUCUAUCCCGUGCCAUUCGGAAUGACUGUGCAAGUUUAUUGUUCUCAUUGAGCAUUGUUAGCAGGCCCAUGAUAAUACUUUCAUCUAAUGGGGCACUGCAUUCACCAGAUCUUGACACUUCAACCCUAUUCUGGAUCUCAUUAUUUGUAUCAUAGAUGUACAAUUGUUGGAAGCGAGGCUUGUUGCCCUCUUUAGGUAGCAAAGUUCCUAUGUGGUGGUAGUUCUGGCCUUUCAGUCUAAAAACAUAAGGUCCACGCCCUUUAUUUACAGUUUUAUCUAUCAUUCCUCCCAUUGAUGUGAAUGCAAACAUGGAGUUGUAAGAUCUAAUAUUCUGUAGGUAGUUUGCUGUUCUUUCCCCCCCAUCUCUUGUCAAUAAACUUGUAAUAUAGCUUGGUGGUUCUUUUAGUGGUGGCAAGGUGACCUUCCCUUGCAAGCAACAUAGGCCAAAGGAUGAUCCUGAACCUCUGCUAGUUUUUGUAUUCUCAGCGUGCCACAUAAUUGCAUGGCAAUGUUUGCAGAUGCAUGUUGGCCCUCCAAAGUUCCAUAUCUUGCUAGCACCAUUAUUGUCAUUGCUUCUUUCACAUGUAUUGAUCCUAGUACGCUUUCUGCUCCUCUUGAGUUGGAUUUGUUCUUUCCUCUUCAUUCUUGCUGUUUUUGCUAAUUGUCUUGACCGUCUCAGUUUCACCAUCUGGUUGUCUGUUAGCACACUGAUGACAAAUGAUGAUUCCCUUUCAUCUCUAUCUGAUUCCCUUUCAUCUCUAUCUGUUUGAGUAUGCUUUAUGUCCCUCUUGAGUUGAAGAAGUUCGUUCACCUUCAUCUGAGAUAUUAAUUCGGACGUCCAUAUCUUGCUAGCACCAUUAUUGGCGUUGCUUCUUUCACUUAUAUUGAUCCUAGUACUUUCUGUUUUCCUCUUGAGUUGGAUCUGUUCUUUCCUUUUCAUUCUUUCUGCUUUUGCUAAUUGUCUAAACUGUCUCAGUCUCAUCAACAGGUCAUCCAUUGGGUCGUUGAUGACACCUGAUGAUUCCCUUUCAUCUCUGUCAGUUUGAGUACGGAGUUGUUCGUUCAUCUUCAUCUGAGAUAUUCUUAUCAAUUCGGUUGUCCACUUUGCUUCCAUAGUUCCAUGUUUUACCUUUUAUGCCCCCUUGACCCUGAGGUACCCUUUCUUCUGAUGGGUUACUUGUAUACUGAUCUUUUUUUAUUGAUUUUUCUGAUCUUUUUGGUCUGCUUCAGUUGAAGUCGGGGAUCUUUCUUCAAGUGUGCUUCUAUUACUCACUCUCUUUUCUGGUUCUAUUUUUUUUUUGGUAUCAUUGUGCAUCUCUUUCCUGAAAAGGAAGCGGCAAUUCAACGGAUCAUCAAAAGAAAAAUAAUAUACAAGAUAAGCAAAAACAUCUAAUUUGCAUGGUAUAUCUUUCGGCUAAAGAAAUCACUAGUAAUUUUGAGUAGCAUGAAUCAAAUCAACAAUCUGAGUAGAGCAAUUCAAUACUCUGGAAAAUAAUCAACAGUCGACAGCGUUCUGCUGAUCUACUAUUGAAGCCUAUGAAUCUAGCACGGUUCUUCUCAAGUGACGAGCAGACUAAAUUAGUGAUGAGGCUUCUCAUAAUCUUAAAAUUUUGGGCUACCAUCUUGCCUAGUUGAGUUAUCUUUGCAAGUCUUUGUGAUGCCAUUGACUAAUUUAGCUUCAACCAUUUGUCCCACUACAGCACAGCGAUGAUGUACUGACGGGGUUGGAGAUCCGGUAGUCUAGGGACCUAGAAAUUUCAGUGGGUGCCAAGAGCGCGUGGUCCCAAUACGAGUAUUCAAAGAGCCUUUUCUUGUUUCAAGACUCUACUUUUCUAACUAGAUGCUGUUGGAAGGGGAAAAACACUAUUGGGAACGUAGAAAGUAAGUGCAGACCAGAUUUGCUCCAGGAUCUGAGUCCCAGCCAAUGUACACGAAAGCUUUGAAAGAAAAACAGUUUCUGGAACCACGAUGGGUAAUAUAUGUGCUAGAUGAUAGUGUGGAGAGCCUAGUUAUUUGCAAAGGAACGUGGCUUCAUGCAGUAUUGCAGUGGAUCAUGAAGGUGUUGGAGAGAUUGCCUUCAGCUGUUCUGAUUCCGUUCCUCCGUAUGAAGCAGCAUGCACGCCCUUAAAACACUUGGAAGCUGAGGAUAUCUGACGAACAAAGAUAGAGCAAGAUGACUUCAUGAGGGGAACAAUGUUUGUAAUGGGAAACUUAGCAGUUGACGCAUUGAUCCUUCGCCAAGCGCCCAAGCCACACUGAAGGGGACGACUGCAGACUUGAGGCAAUCUACCAGGAUGCAAGAGGGGCGUUUACUGUACUUAGCGGAGCAUGUCCAUCUCAUAGAGAUUCUCAGCUAGCUAUGCAAGCUCACCUCUCAACCGUGCUUCACAGGCUGACAAGCACGCACUGUCCUAGAAGCUCCUUGGAUUCUUUCUGCACUGUAUCUGCGUGAGGGUGAGAUUCUCACUUCUUCACCUUCAGGUCUAGUCUUGUCCGACCUUUUGCCUGCGUCCGGUGUCUGGUCUCUAGUGUAGUGCGAGCCCAUACCGGCUUGUGGGGAGCUUUUUUUAACAGUCUGUUAUUAUGAGCAUCUAUCUUUCUUCUCCCUUGACAGGAUAAUUUUUUGGAAUUUAUUCAGACUUCAACGAGUCCACUGCUCUUUCUUUCCUCUUCAGUUA